rnacentral:snRNA from 1 species
GUGCUCACUUUGACAGCACAUAUACUAAAAUUAGAAUGGCACAAGAAUUAGCAGGACUCCUGUACAAGAAUGAAAUGCAAAUUCUUGAAGUAUUCCAUAUUUCA